rnacentral:rRNA from 1 species
AUUACGCUGGCGGCGUGCCUAAUCUAUGCAAGUCAUUGUUUUGUAGCAAUACAAGGCAAGGCAGACGAGUGAGUAACGCGUAGGAACCAACCCUUAAGUUAGGAAUAACCCGUCGAAAGACGGAGUAAUACCUGAUGUGUUCGCAAGAACAAAGUCGCAAGACGCUUGAGGACGGGCCUGCGUCCUAUCAGCUUGUUGGUGAGGUAAUGGCUUACCAAGGCUAUGACGGUUAGGGGGCGUGAGAGCGCGACCCCCCACAAUGGCACUGAGACACGGGCCAUACGUCUACGGACGGCAGCAACUGGGAAUCGUUGGCAAUGGACGAAAGUCUGACCACGCGACGCCGCGUGAGGGAUGAAGGCCUUCGGGUCGUAAACCUCUUUUGCCAAGCAAUCGACGCUUGGCGAAUAAGCAUCUACAAACUACGUGCCAGCAGUCGCGGUAAUACGUAGGAUGCAAGCGUUAUCCGGAUUCACUGGGCGUAAAGUGUCGUGUAGGUGGCAAUCCGCAUCGUACUUGAAAGCCCGAGGCUUAACCUCGGCGUUGGGUACGAGAUGGGGUAGCUAGAGGGAGGUAGAGGAAAGGGGAACUCAUGGUGAAGCAGUGAAAUGCGUUGAUAUCAUGAGGAACACCAAAGGCGAAGGCACCUUUCUGGACCUCUCCUGACACUGAGACACGAAAGCUAGGGGAGCGAAGCAGAUUAGAGACCUGCGUAGUCCUAGCCCUAAACGCAUGUCUGCUAGAUGCCCCGAUUUAUUGGGGUGUCGUAAGCUAACGCGUUAAGCAGACCGCCUGGGGAGUACGAUCGCAAGAUUAAAACUCAAAGGAAUUGACGGGGACCCGCACAACCGGUGGAGCGUGUGGUUCAAUUCGAGACAAAGCGAAAGACCUUACCAAGUCUUGACAUGGUACCGUACAUUUUUCUGGAAACAGAGAGAAAUCCGCAAGGAUGGUACCACAGCAGCUGCAUGGCUGUCGUCAGCUCGUGCCGUGGGGUGUUCCCUUAAGUGGGAGAACGAGCGCAACCCGUAUCCAAUGUUACAAGUGUCAUUGGAGACUGCCCUGACUAUUAUUAGGGAGGAAGGAACGGACGACGUCAAGUCAGCACGGCGCUUAUGACUUGGGAUACACACACCCUACAAUGGCGAAAAACAAUGGGAAGCAAGUCGGUAACGGCAAGCAAAUCCCAAGUAAAUUUCGCACUCAGUUCAGAUUGAGGGCUGCAACCACGCAACUCAUGAAGUC